rnacentral:rRNA from 1 species
CCUACGGGAGGCAGCAGUGAGGAAUAUUGGUCAAUGGACGAGAGUCUGAACCAGCCAAGUAGCGUGAAGGAUGACUGCCCUAUGGGUUGUAAACUUCUUUUAUAUGGGAAUAAAAUGUUCCACGUGUGGGAUUUUGUAUGUACCAUAUGAAUAAGGAUCGGCUAACUCCGUGCCAGCAGCCGCGGUAAUACGGAGGAUCCGAGCGUUAUCCGGAUUUAUUGGGUUUAAAGGGAGCGUAGGUGGAUUGUUAAGUCAGUUGUGAAAGUUUGCGGCUCAACCGUAAAAUUGCAGUUGAAACUGGGAGUCUUGAGUACAGUAGAGGCGGGCGGAAUUCGUGGUGUAGCGGUGAAAUGCUUAGAUAUCACGAAGAACCCCGAUUGCGAAGGCAGCUCACUGGACUGCAACUGACACUGAGGCUCGAAAGUGUGGGUAUCAAACAGGAUUAGAUACCCGAGUAGUC